rnacentral:rRNA from 1 species
AUUCCAGCUCCAAUAGCGUAUAUUAAAGUUGUUGCAGUUAAAAAGCUCGUAGUUGGAUUUCUGAUAGGGAGCCGAUCACCACUGUUGUGAGUGUUAGGUACCUGUCAUCCUUCUGUUAACCCCUGCGGCAUUCAUUUGUCGUUGGGCGGACCAGAUACUUUACCUUGAGAAAAUUAGAGUGUUUCAGGCAGGCCUAGCCGGAAUACAUUAGCAUGGAAUAAUGGAAUAGGACUAUAGUCUCGUCGUUGGUUACGUGGACUGCAGUAAUGAUUAAUAGGGAUAGUUGGGGGCAUUAGUAUUUAUUAGCUAGAGGUGGAAUUCUCUAAUUUGAUAAAGUCUAACUUAUGCGAAAGCAUUUGCCAAGGAUGUUUUCAUUA